rnacentral:rRNA from 1 species
UACAGAGGUCUCAAGCGUUGUUCGGAUUCAUUGGGUCGUAAAGGGCGCGUAGGCUGCGGGGCAAGUCGGGUGUGAAAUCUCAGAGCUCAACUCUGAAACUGCACUCGAUACUGCUUUGCUUGAGGACUGGAGAGGAGAUUGGAAUUCACGGUGUAGCAGUGAAAUGCGUAGAUAUCUGGAGGAACACCGGUGGCGAAGGCGGCAUCCUGGACCAACACUGACGCUGAGUGAGCGAAAGCCAGGGGAGCAAACGGG